rnacentral:rRNA from 1 species
AGGUCAAGCUAGGAAGGGCAUACGGUGGAUGCCUUGGCGCUUUGGGCCGAAGAAGGACGUGGCAAGCUGCGAAAAGCCACGGGGAGCCGCAAGCAGGCGUAGAUCCGUGGAUAUCCGAAUGGGGCAACCCGGCGGGGGAGAACCCCCGUCAUCCUGUACUGAAUCCAUAGGUACAGGAGGGGCACCCGGGGAACUGAAACAUCUUAGUACCCGGAGGAAAAGAAAGCAAAAGCGAUCCCCGUAGUAGCGGCGAGCGAAGAGGGGACAGCCUAAACCGCGAAGUGGGAACACUUUGCGGGGUUGCGGGACUCCCGUGAAAGUACUGCGGAACUUAGCCGAAGGGGGCUGGAAAGCCCCGCCGCAGAAGGUAAAAGCCCUGUAGGCGAAAAGGGAAGCAGUGCAGGGAGGAUCCCAAGUACCGCGGGGCACGUGGAAUCCUGCGGGAAUCAGGGAGGACCACCUUCCAAGGCUAAAUACCCAAAGCGACCGAUAGUGGACGAGUACCGUGAGGGAAAGGUGAAAAGCACCCCGGGAGGGGAGUGAAAGAGAACCUGAAACCGUAUGCCUACAAGCAGUCGGAGCGCGUGGGGACACGCGUGACGGCGUACUUUUUGUAGAACGGACCGGCGAGUUACGUCUAGCGGGCGAGGUUAAGGCUGGGAAGGCCGGAGCCGUAGCGAAAGCGAGUCUGAAUAGGGCGAGUAGUCCGCUGGAGUAGACCCGAAACCGGGUGAGCUACCCAUGUCCAGAGUGAAGCGUAAGUAAAGUUACGUGGAGGCUCGAACCAACCGUCGUUGAAAAGGCGGUGGAUGAGGUGUGGGUAGGGGUGAAAUGCCAAUCGAACCCGGAAAUAGCUGGUUCUCCCCGAAAUAGCUUUAGGGCUAGCCUCAUACGAGAGUGCCGGAGGUAGAGCACUGACUGGGCUAGGGGCCUUCGCGGGUUACCGAACCCAAUCAAACUGCGAAUGCCGGACACUUGAUGUAUGGGAGUCAGACUACGAGUGCUAAGAUCCGUAGUCGAGAGGGGAACAGCCCGGACCGCCGGCUAAGGUCCCGAAGCGGUGCUAAGUGGGGAAGGAUGUGGGGCUGCGAAGACAACCAGGAUGUUGGCUUAGAAGCAGCCAUCAUUCAAAGAGUGCGUAAUAGCUCACUGGUCAAGUGGCCCUGCGCCGAAAAUGAAACGGGGCUCAAGCACCGCACCGAAGCCGCGGAUCUGAGAGGUGAGAGGUGAGAGGUUGGAAGUGGGAAUGACGAUUCUCACAUCUCACUUCUCACAUCUCACCUCUCAGGUGGUAGGGGAGCGUUCCCACCGGGUAGAAGUCACACUGGGAGGUGUGGUGGACUGGUGGGAAGUGAGAAUGCCGGUAUAAGUAAGCGAAAAGGCAGGUGAGAAUCCUGCCCGCCGAAAGCCUAAGGAUUCCUGGGGAAGGCUCGUCCGCCCAGGGUAAGCCGGGGCCUAAGCCGAGGCCGAAAGGCGUAGGUGAUGGGGAAUCGGUUGAGAAUCCGAUGCCACCGGUAGGCCGGUUGAGGAUGGGGUGACGCAGGAGGGUAGGCCAAGCGCGCGGCUGGAAAAGCGCGUCCAAGCCGGUAGGGUGUGGGGCAGGCAAAUCCGUCCCACGGUAAGCCCGAGAGGUGAUGGGGAGGGAAAUAAAAGUACCGAAGUGGCUGAACCCAAACUGCCAAGAAAAACCUCUAACGAGGAAUACCGGUGCCCGUACCGCAAACCGACACAGGUAGGCGAGGAGAGAAUCCUCAGGCGCGCGAGAGAACCCUCGUUAAGGAACUCGGCAAAAUGACCCCGUAACUUCGGGAGAAGGGGUGCCCCGGUAGCGUGAAGGUAAAAACUACUGGAGCGCGAGGGGGCCGCAGAGAAGAGGCCCAAGCGACUGUUUACCAAAAACACAGGUCCCUGCUAAAUCGAAAGAUGAAGUAUAGGGGCUGACGCCUGCCCGGUGCUGGAAGGUUAAGGGGAAGGGUUAUCCGCGAGGAGAAGCUCUGAACCGAAGCCCCAGUAAACGGCGGCCGUAACUAUAACGGUCCUAAGGUAGCGAAAUUCCUUGUCGGGUAAGUUCCGACCCGCACGAAAGGCGUAACGACUUGGGCGCUGUCUCAACGAGGGGCUCGGCGAACUUGUAGUACCCGUGAAGAUGCGGGUUACCUGCGACGGGACAGAAAGACCCCGUGGAGCUUUACUGCAGCCUGACAUUGGACUUCGGUAUUGCAUGUACAGGAUAGGUGGGAGGCAGGGAAGCCAGGGCGCCAGCCUUGGUGGAGCCGACCUUGGGAUACCACCCUUGUGGUAUUGGAGUUCUAACAGGGUACCGUGAAGGCCGGUACAUGGACAGUGUCAGGUGGGCAGUUUGACUGGGGCGGUCGCCUCCUAAAAGGUAACGGAGGCGCCCAAAGGUUCCCUCAGCGCGGUUGGAAAUCGCGCGUAAGAGUGCAAAGGCAGAAGGGAGCUUGACAGCGAGACUGACCGGUCGAGCUGGGACGAAAGUCGGGCUUAGUGAUCCGGCGGUAGCGAGUGGAAGCGCCGUCGCUCAACGGAUAAAAGCUACCCCGGGGAUAACAGGCUUAUCUCCCCCAAGAGUUCACAUCGACGGGGAGGUUUGGCACCUCGAUGUCGGCUCAUCGCAUCCUGGGGCUGGAGUAGGUCCCAAGGGUUGGGCUGUUCGCCCAUUAAAGCGGUACGUGAGCUGGGUUCAGAACGUCGUGAGACAGUUCGGUCCCUAUCCGUCGCAGGCGCAGGAAACUUGAGAGGAGCUGUCCCUAGUACGAGAGGACCGGGAUGGACAGACCGCUGGCGUACCAGUUGUCCCGCCAGGGGCAGCGCUGGGUACCCAAGUCUGGUGGGGAUAAGCGCUGAAAGCAUCUAAGCGCGAAGCCCCCCUCAAGAUAAGGUUUCCCAUGGAGUUAAUCCAGUAAGACCCCUGGAAGACUACCAGGUAGAUAGGCCGGGCGUGUAAGCCGGGUAACCGGUUGAGCGGACCGGUACUAAUAGGUCGAGGGCUUGACCUACCAGGUAGAUAGGCCGGGCGUGUAAGCCGGGUAACCGGUUGAGCGGACCGGUACUAAUAGGUCGAGGGCUUGACCUG